GGUUCAGUAGUGUAGAGGUUAUCACCCGGGAUUCUGAUCACUGCUGCUCCUCCUCUGCUCAUCUUCCCGUAACCCAGGUUCGAGUCCUGGUUGGACCU